AGCUCCAAUAGCGUAUAUUAAAGUUGUUGCAGUUAAAAAGCUCGUAGUUGGAUUUCUGUGGGAGUGCUUGCGACGGCUUGAUGCUGGUCACAGGCGCUCUUACAUCCUUCUGUUAACUGUUCUUGGCAUUCAUUUGCUGGUUCAGGGCUCAGAUAUUUUACCUUGAGAAAAUUAGAGUGUUUCAGGCAGGCUUAUGCACGGAAUACAUUAGCAUGGAAUAAUAGAAUAGGACUUGUGCGUUUUCGGGCGCCGGUCUCUGUUGUUGGUUUCGGGGACUAAAGUAAUGAUUAAUAGGGAUAGUUGGGGGCAUUAGUAUUUAAUAGUCAGAGGUGAAAUUCUCGGAUUUGUUAAAGACUAACUUAUGCGAAAGCAUUUGCCAAGGAUGUUUUCAUUAAUCAAG
rnacentral:rRNA from 1 species